UAGCGGAGCUAGAGCCAUAACCCGUACCACUACCAGACCCAUGACCAUUGGAUGGCCAGUAACCACCAGCUUGUCCGGCACCGCCACCAGCACCAGCGCCGCCAGCACUGGAUGAACCGCCAUAACCAUAAUAUCCAUUUUGAGAGGUCUGGCUAGAGCCUGAGCCCGAGCCAUAUCCGCUACCAGAUCCCGAUCCACCGUAUUGGCUGUAACCACCACCUCCGCCUCCUCCUCCGCCACUAGCAUGAGCACCAUAAUAGUUGCUGCUACCGGACCCAGCCCCAAUUCCUUUCCCCGCUCCCCCACCGUUCACAUAUCCUCCUCCCUCUCCACCUCCUGUGCCAGAACCUUGGGAACUAGAAUAUCUUUCUACUCUUGCAGCACUGGCUAGUCCAAUGCUUAAAAGAACAACGAAACCAAGAGCUGCAAGCUUAGUGCGUGCCAUUGUUAGCUAACUCUAUGAGUGCAGGAAAUGGUGAGUGUUGGGUGCAGGACUGCAUGGGUAUUUAUAGUGCUUGAGGCCAUAUGCAACAAUAGUUUCUUAACAGCACACACGUUAGUCUUUUAGUUGGCAUCUUCAUUAAGUAGGGAUCAAGUUGAGGCCUUAAAGAACUGUUUACCAAAGAGACAAAGCUCAUGUACUUACAGAAGUAAUUAGCACUAGCUUCUAUGCUCUAAAUAAGUCCUAAUGUUCUAAACAAUAGGGUCUUUAAAUCAAGAGCGCUACUAGCUCCUCGAUAGAUCAAAAUUUUGUUCUUUCACUGUUCUUGGCCUGUGAAAAUUCACAGUAUUGAUGGCAUGUUUGGUAAGGCUUCAACUUCUAAAUUUAACUCUAAGAGCUACGUUCAGAGUGGAGUUGUGGAGCAACAUAAACCUAGCUCUAUCUUUCUAGUUCAUUUUGUGAUAGCGAUAGCUCCAGCCAGCUCCACUCCUAUUUUAUGUGGAGCUGAAACUUAGGCUGAGCUAGAGCUCUACCAAAUAGGCCCUAUGUUUACCUAAUGAUGAGCAUAUUAACAUCUGGAUCGUCUAGGAGAGAAGAGUUACUAGAUAUAUCAUAAAAUAAAAGAUGCAAUAUCAAUAACAUAAAUAUCAACAAAGAAUUAUUAUUACCUUUUUGUUUGAAUCACCUCAACAAAUACAUACAAUGCAUGCACCUAUGUAAGCGAUAUCAAGCGGGAAGCAUCGGCGGAUGGUGGAGUCAUAGAUGCAUGACUCCACCCACCAGGAUUGAAAUCCUGAUACCCACAAACAUUAUACACACAAGUGGACUUUCAAUAGAAAUUUAGUGAGAUCAAAAAUAUAUCGCUGGUCUCCAUCCCUUUGAGUAUGUGUUAGACGCGUAUUCGAGGAUGUGUGAGUGCGGUGUUGCAUGUGAAGUAGUGACGUGUGUGUGCGCGUGUAUUCCUGGAAUCACCGAAUGUAAGAGAUGUUAAAGAGUGGAGGAUUUAACAAAAAUGAAUUUAGAAGAAAGAGAUAUGCUAGUUAAUUAUGUGUGUAUAUAUAUACAAUUCUACAUCGUAGAGCACUAGUUAAUCGUAGAGCACUAGUUAAGUCAUAUUUUAAGGUAAAGAGGUAAAGGGAGUAGUAAUUAACUCUUAGUUGCACUAAUUAACUAUCGCAAACCAGCACUAGCAUAUCGAUCUACUACUACUGAUGAAUAUAAUUACACAGAAGACGACGACUUCGAAGCUCUCGAUCCCAUCGCAGCUGACUUUGACACAUUCAAACGCUCUUGUCAGUGACAAACUCGACCACGCACAGAACAAAAGGAAAUAAGAACGCACAGCCGAUGGAGAUGCAUGGUUGGCUGCAUGAUCUGCAUGCGGAGAUUGAGGCGCUGACAUAAUCAUUUUACUAAUGUUCCCUGUUUUAAAAUAUAUGAAAUAUUUUGUUUUUCUAUAUAUAAAGCUUUAACCAAAUUUAAUCUGUAAUAUACUCCCUCGUUUGAAAAUGUAAGGCACAACUAUCCUUUUAACACUAAGACUAAAAAUAAUUAUUGUCACCUUAUGUAGAUCACUCUAAUAAAUACAAUGUAUGUACCUAAUAAAAUUAGAGAUCUUGAAGGAUUUUAAAAAUAAUAAUUUAGUGGAGAGGAGGUGCUAGUUAAUUGUUUAUAUGCAUGCAUGUCUUAUGUAUAUUAUGAUGAAAUAUGUGAAAAAUGUAGUUGUGUCCUUAUAUUUAGAAUUAAUGGAGGGAGCGUUAUUUAUGUGAUAAAAUGCCUAAUUGUAAGAACUUCUAGAUACAUGUAUAUAUGUGUACGAAAAGAAGGCUUGCGACUAAUACACGCGUACAUAAUAAUUAGGGUGAAUGUACAUUAGUUUGUACCACUGGGUAAAAUAAACGGAAAUUGCAGAUCGAUCGAUCGUCUGAAUGACAAAAUAAAUCACUAUAUACAGUUAAACAACAUCAUGCCUUACCGUAUAUCUGCUUCAAUUAAUUAGCUGUUUGAUGAAAAAAAAUCAGUAAUCAAUAGUGCUUCAAAUAUUAAUCUAUCGCCCUAGUACAUGCCAAUGCUUCAAUACGUGGGGUGGAUUACUGAAUACAAUUCUAAACAUUAAGCAACGAACAAUACUGUGUGCAAAAAACCGUGCAAGUAUGCCCUGUAAACAACGUUUUCCACUAUAAACUAUACACCAUCCUUUGUCAAAAUCCCGGAAACUGCAUGGCAUUGCAAGCUAGAUAAGCUUGUAUUAUCCUGAGUAAGUACUGAGCAAUUGAUUAGCACUUACAUAAGGUGUGUCCUUGCAUGUGAAAGUCAAGAUUGGAGAACCACAUGCACGCCAGCCAUGUCCCACGCCUAUGUCAUAUAAAAGAGUACAAUAAGUAAUAUAAAUGGGUUUUAAAAAUUAUCACAUCAGAUUUAUAUUUAGGUGAAAAAAAAAAGAUAGAGAAAAAAUGUGCUACUACAUAUUAAUUUAUAACCAGUUGCAGCACGGGCUCAUAGACACUAUGCGUGUAUGAGAGGUGGGUCAGGAAUUACUAGUGUAGUAUAUAUUUACCAUAUAGAUUGGCUAUUAGAUUGUUCGUAGAUGACGUGUUAAUUUUUUGAGCUUGUAGUUGUCUAUACCAUUGAACUUCUUCUAAGGCCAUGUCCAAUGCUUCUACGUGGAGUGUAACCCCAGGUCACCAUGUAGGAGCUGAGUUCCCUUUUCAAACCAGUACCAUGCUCUUGUGAGAAAACACAUCACCUCUGCAAGGACCCUCAUGCUUCAUAUCCGCCUCGUGAAACCACAGCUUGUGGCUCUGUGUUUGGGUGAGCCCGUGGCCCCACCUCAUGGUCCACACAUGUCCCCCACCCCAAACGUUGCCUGAGAGGUGGUGGCCAAUUGAGAGAAAGUGGCAACAUAGCUAACAGGACAAGCAAGAGAACAAGCGCAACGGAGAAAGAGGGGAAAAGAGCCUACUACCACACAUGCAUAUCAUGCAACCAUAUGCAUUCAUCGAUAUCAAGGCCGCCUCCUCGAUCGCCUCCGACGUUUCUCUGCUUAGGCUGCCCGCCAGCCCUAGAGCUUGAUGGUGGAGGAGGAGGAGGGAGCCUCCUUGACCACCGUUGUGGCAUCAUUGACCACCGACAUGGCUGGAUCAUCGACCUAUUCGCCAUUGGUUGGCACCCUUCUGGGGUGGUGAAAUGAGAAGGGGAUUCGGAGCAGAGCUAUGGCCUCAAUAUGCAAAGCUGGAGAGGGGAGAGCAGAGUGGAGGCGUCGCCGCUGCCAGAUCUGCACCGAUCUUGCGAUGGUGAUAUGGGAGACACCAGAUUUGGAAGAGGAGAGUAGGGGUGCCGUCGCUGCUAGAUCCACACCGAUCUUGCCACUGGGGACAGAGGAGACACAUCUUUGUUAGCCUCGUCUGCCAGAUCUACUCCGACGGAGGUGACUGGAGCAUGUUAAUUUAUACAUGGAUGUGGAUGUAGCAUAUGUUGAUCUUCUGAUGGAACUAUUGUCAUAUGUUUUUUUUAGAAAGUUACUAUUGUCGUAUGCUGUUGUGUUAUUGUUGAACUGCUUGCAUGUUGAUCUCUUUUCUUGGUCAAGUGAUAUUCUGAGUUUCUGACCAAACAGAGGAAAUUUGUUGUACAUCCUUUCUGUCAUCUGGCCAAUCAGUGAGAUCAAAUUGAAAUCGUGCAUUUUAUUAACAAUGUGCAUAUAUAUCUCUGUUACUCAGUACCUUCAGAAAACGCAAGAAAUUAAAACUCCUGGCAGGACACAAGGGACAUUGAGUAGAUAGAACAAAACGUAUGGGUGGUACAUAGGCCACAAUUGGCUGAGACAAGUGGUGGCAUGCAUGGCCAUUUGUUGCGUCGGAUGCUUCAUCCUUGUGUGAUCUAACCAACCAAUGCAACGCUCUCUCCCUUUGGAUGCAACAGCAUGCAUGUUUUUAGCUAAAAGUCUUGUGUAAAUAUGUUAUGUUUCUUAAUUCUUACGUGUUUUCAGCUAGCAUAAAGACAAUGACUUUUGCGUGUAUUGGUAUAAUAGACAUCCUCAGUGUAUAACCAUCUGAUAGAAUAGCAAUGUACUCUAAACAUACAUAGAUCUCCUCGUUAGUGACACAGUACUAUAUAUUGAAUUUUACAGAAACAAUGAAGCCCUUUAUUUCUUGUAGAACAACGUAUGAAACAAGUACAAACAAAUGAUAACGAAUUAUACUUCUAGACAUUACAUGAGAUGGUAGGCUCCAUUUCUUUAAUUUCCUUUACGAAGGAAAUUAAGGGUUCGCAUCACCGUACCCAGAUCCAGAACCCGCACCAACGCCACGGCCACCAUAUUGGCCUUGGCCGUUACCACCACCAUUGCCACCGGCAUUUGCGUUUGCAUAUGGUCCACUCCAGUAGUUAUUAGCCUCGCUAGAGCCUGAGCCGGUACCGCUACCAGACCCAUGACCAUACGAUGGCCAAUAACCACCGGCUUGUCCGGCACCGCCACCAGCACCAGCACCGCCAGCACUGGAUGACCCGCCAUAACCAUAAUAUCCAUUUUGAGAGGUCUGGCUAGAGCCUAAGCCCGUGCCAUAUCCGCUACCAGAUCCUGAUCCACCGUAUUGACUGUAACCACCACCUCCGCCGCCACCUCCACCACUUGCAUGGGCACCGUAAUAGUUACUGCUACCAGACCCAACCCCACUUCCUUUCCC
rnacentral:lncRNA from 1 species